AAGCCGCAAGGUGAGUAAAGUGGCGUACGGGUGAGUAACACGUGGAUCAUCUGCCUUCUAGUGGGGAAUAACGCUGGGAAACCGGCGCUAAUACCGCAUAAGUCCGGGAGGAGAAAGCAGCAAUGCGCUGGAAGAGGAGUCCGCGGCCGAUUAGCUAGUUGGCAGGGUAAAAGCCUACCAAGGCAAAGAUCGGUAGCCGGCCUGAGAGGGCACACGGCCACACUGGCACUGGAACACGGGCCAGACUCCUACGGGAGGCAGCAGUGGGGAAUAUUGCACAAUGGGGGAAACCCUGAUGCAGCGACGCCGCGUGAGCGAUGAAGCCCUUUGGGGUGUAAAGCUCUUUCGGCAGGGAAGAUAGUGACGGUACCUGCAGAAGCAGCUGCGGCUAACUACGUGCCAGCAGCCGCGGUAAUACGUAGGCAGCAAGCGUUGUUCGGAAUUACUGGGCGUAAAGGGUGUGUAGGCGGUUGUUUAAGUUUGGUGUGAAAUCUCCCGGCUCAACUGGGAGGGUGCGCCGAAUACUGAGUGACUAGAGUGCGGGAGAGGAAAGUGGAAUUCCUGGUGUAGCGGUGAAAUGCGUAGAUAUCAGGAGGAACACCGGUGGUGUAGACGGCUUUCUGGACCGUAACUGACGCUGAAACACGAAAGCGUGGGUAGCAAACAGGAUUAGAUACCCUGGUAGUCCACGCCCUAAACGAUGCAUAUUUGGUGUGGGUCAUUCAGUUGAUCCGUGCCGGAGCUAACGCGUUAAAUAUGC
rnacentral:rRNA from 1 species